CGCGUAGGCGGUUGGAUAAGUCAGCUAUGAAAACCACGAGCUUAACUCGUGGCCUGCAGUUGAGACUGUCUGGCUUGAGUGUGGGAGAGGAGAGUGGAAUUCCUGGUGUAGCGGUGAAAUGCGUAGAUAUCAGGAGGAACACCGGUGGCGAAGGCGGCUCUCUGGACCACAACUGACGCUGAGGCGCGAAAGCUAGGGGAGCAAACA
rnacentral:rRNA from 1 species